rnacentral:sRNA from 1 species
CCCGCACGCUGCUUCGUGUGCGCUGUCGUUAGGGCGCCGUGGCCUCGCGUCCGGCGUGGGACUCUGGCGAGGAGACGGAGUGAGUGAGGAAUUCGUACAAGGGACUCUCAACCGCAGAGAGCCGUAGGAAGAAAUGAGGUGGAACCCGCAGACUUUUUAGAGCCUUCUCGCGGCCGAGGAGGGACUCUGGCUUAUUUCCUAACUCACCGUUCACUCGUGCUUUAUAGUUGAACAAUAGUUAAAUAUUUAAAGAUUCAGACAAAGCAGCAGCCGGGCUGGGAUGUGUCCAAUGAACCUUGUUACCAAGGGGGAAAUGCUGCCACUCUGUGGGAAAGAGAUUUUGUUGUUUGUUUUUAAUUUAAGAGCCUAACUUAUUUCACAAAGGAAUGGUCGAUACUUGCCCAAAGUAAACUGUCAAUAAUUAAACUGUCAGGGCAUAGAGAUCCCACAGAAGUACUUGUUCUUCCAAUACAUAAAUAAAGGACUUCAAAAGUCAACAAACAGAAAGGGGUGCGUUAAAUGGGUCUUCUAAUCUACAGGAACUGAAAGAUUAGCUCUGGUUUGGUUGGUGCUCACAUUUUGUGAUUGCUUGCCUGAACUACUUGCUCUGUUUGACCGCCUCUGGCGAAUGUUGCAAGACCUCCUCACUGUUGUGUGCCAAAUAAAGCAGGUUUUUAUUCCUGAGAGACUGUGAGUGUUCUCUUUGAGGGGCAAGCCGAGACAUGUAUGAGUAGUUAAAGUAUAACAACAGUAACCAUUAUUUACCGAGAAGCAGACUUUGGCAGAUAAUCUAAGGAUCUAAAAUACUGCUCCUCGGGUAUAUUGCUAAUGGUUGCAUAUUGUAUUAGCAGCAGUGGUCUUCUUAUUCUUGGGUGAAAACCUGAAGGGUUGCUUAGACCUGUUGCAGAACAAACAGCACAUAACCAGCUUGUAUCAGGGACAUGGUCACUUCAGUAGAUGGUUUCUCACAAGUUCUGCCUCCCACUGUGUUGCUGUUUUAUCUCUAAAGGCCCCAGGGUCCCCACAAGUCUUGGGAAUAAAAGGAAGCACAGUAAGGAACUGAAAAGUACUCACACAAAGGAAAGAAAGAAGCAAGCUUCUUUGGCUAUAGUGUACUGGAGACCUUGGGAUCUUUACGUUCUUGUUUUAGGGAUCAAUCUCCUGGUACAUUAGGCAGACUUGUGCAAACCCAAGAACAGCAUAGAGGUUGCUAUAGAGGACAGCCUUACUGUGGCCCUUCAUUACCUUAACCAAAGAUGGUAAGUAAGAUUGGCUCCCACACCGUGAACUGUUCAAUGGUGAGCAGCUCUUGAGUCUCCAUACUGAUACCCCUUCAGAACUCAUUCACUCUGAGAGCCUUUUCCUCUUAGACUAGAAAGCUUCCUAGUUGACCUCUAGUCAUUUGGGCUCCUUCACAUCAGUAAAUUAGUCUAUAUCUGACCAGUCCUCUAGCUCCUUAUCCUUUCUGAGAGGAAGGGGAGUAGUUGUGGUUUUGUUUGUUUGAGUCUUGCUAUGUAGUGGAGGCUAUACUUGGACCCUGGGUCAUUCUGGUCCAGCCUCUUAAGUAAUGGAAUGAUGGACAUUCACCACCGCUAUUGUCUCUUAACUCGGACUUUAGUGUCUCCCAAAUGUCCUUCAGACAUCGUUUUUAAAUAACAAUAAGUUCUGCCUUGUUCGUAAGUAAAUUUUAGCCAGGUGUAACCCCCUAGACUUGAAAGGUGAAGACAAGCAGGUUAAGAAUUCAAUAUCUUGAUAGGCAUGCAGUGAGUUUGAACCAUUCCAGGCUACUUGAGACCCUGCCUCAGAGAGGAGGUAGGGUGUUGAGGUAGUUCCCAUUGGAGUCCAGACUGGGAAGAGCUGUGUAUUCAAAAUUAAAACAGCUUGCCUGCAUAGGGAACUCUAAAGCGAAGGAAGAUCUACACAGUAUUUGUGAUUACACAAAGCCUUAAAAAAUUGUAAGUUUGCUUUUCUCUUGAGAAGGUGAUGUCUAGCAGACUUGUCAUUCAUUGGUCUCUAAAGUCUUUCUACCUUUGUAAGUACAAAGUUAAGUCUCACUCUAACCGUGUGUCAAUGAAAGGAGCAUGCCCUGAAUAAGAUUGUACUGUAGGGAUGUGAUUUGCUCUGGUUAAAAGGUGCUGAAAGGUCUCUCACCUGUACUUGGCCUUCUGCCCCCCACCCCUAGUUACCCUGUACAUAUAUGACUUCUUCUGGUAGGAUUGGGUUUUAUCCCUGAAGUUUUAUUUUUACAGUUUUGCUUUUCAUCCAAACACAGUGCAAAUGCCUCUCUUCAUCAGCACGUUUGUAACUUUAAGAAUUAAUUGGGCUCGUUAUAUUUUGAAGAGCAUGCUGAAGAAUAGUAAAUUUUAAAGAACCAGCUGAGAACAUUGUGUACCAUGUUCUGAAGUCAGUGCGUCUCAAAUACUGUCGCUAAUCCUGAAGUAAAUCACCCAUCAAAGAUUCAUGUUCUUAGACAGUUAAAGAACAGAAGACUUCAAAAGUAAAGCAGGAUUCUAAACAUACCUUACCAAAAUCCCCACUCGCUCAGAGUCUUGGCAGAAGUGUUUUUGUUUUUCUUUUUCCCUCCACAAAGUAGAGUUAUACUUUUUGAGUCUAUCAUUGCCCACAACUAAAAUCCCCGACUUCAGGAUUUCCUGCUGCCCAGGUGGUGGCAGCAUGUCUCAGAGAGCUAGUGUGCUGGGGAAAGGCUUAACCCCAGCCUGGCUGGCUGGCUGCUUGUUUGAACGUGCAUAACCUGCCUCUGUGCAGAACGCUUUCACUUCUCCAUUUAUCGACCCAUGAGUGAUUCAUCCCACUGUAGCCUCCUCUUCUAGGUACAUUACACUCCAGUAGUUUCUCUUCAGCUUGUUCUGUCUAUAAAGUAUCUAUCAGACUCUCUCUAGAAAACUCAUUAGGACCUAUCAGGCGAGACAGUGUUAUUUCAGUUGUUAUUUUUAACCAGUAUUUGAUAUUAUUGGCAGUACUGACAGUAUCAGUAUUAGCUAAUACUACUAAGAAAUGUCUGCUUAAAAUAAAGGCAUGGUGUCUUAAACUCACAGAUUCAUCAGCGGAGGAGCUUAUGAAAAGCAGAAUUAGGACUCAAACGAACAAGAAACUCCACAGAGAGUAAUGCGAGAUUAUCAUUUAUGGGUCUAAGAAGACAGAGGGUAUAGGACGCUGGCAGUCAAGGCUGAAUUCCAUCCCCAGAUCCCAACUCAUGGAAGAUCAGACACGAAAGUGUAUGUUGGGGGAAGACAAAGACUCGUGCCCCAAUGUAAGACCUUAAGGAUGGAGGGAGAUGCUCCUGUCUGAAGCCAUCAAUUUGCCAGGCUGUUCUCUAAAAUCGGAUGGAUCUUGGGGAAUGACUACGGACCGUUGCUGACUUAACUAAAUAGUACCUGAGUUCUGAGCCUCCAGCCUGGACUCGUGCUUCAGAUAAUGAUACUACCACAAAUACAAAGUCUUCAUCUGUUGAUUUGACGAGUGUCUUUAUCCUGUUCCAGUGGGAAGAGAAACAGUCCACCUUCACCAAAUACAGGCAAGGCUGUUAACUCCUCCACCCUCGAUCAUAAUAAAAAUGAAUUAAUCGGAAUCAUUUGAAUAUCCGUUAUAACAAUGGCCUGAUCCCGUUUAUCGACCAUAUUGUACUGAUUGGAUCUGAUGAACAAAAGACAGCCACUAUGCUGAAUACCUUUGCUCCAGAAGGAGGGGGUAAAUGCUAUAAAGACUAAAAGUUUUCUGACUCUUUAUUUUUUUUUUUAAUGUGUCUGCAUGCUCUUGUGUGUGCAUGCAUGUAGAGGCCAUAGGCAGCCUCAAGUGUCACCCUCAGGAAUGCCAUCUACCUCCUUUGCUUCGCACAGAAGCCGGUUGUCAUCCUCUGAGCUGCUCUAAUGAGAUGCAAGGACCGAAGGAUGGCUGAGGGCCAGGGAGGAGCUCAAUCCUGUCCUUGGGAGUCGGUCUGGUCACGUUCUCUUCUUUCAAGCUGAAGAUGGCACCCGCUCGGCUAAGCCGGUGAAUGUGGACUUACAAGGACUCAGCCAAGUCGUGUCUAGAUUACAGGCCAAAGAUGACGAGGGAAAGAGAGCACCAGGCAAAACAAAUUUUAAUUACAAUAAUGAUGAAUGGUCCAAUAGAGCUGCAAGAUAAUGGAAGGAAGAUGGGGUACCUGAAGCCAGCUCGUUAAAAUCAGAAAAGGUGUCCUCGAGGAAACGUGGGUCCCAGACUUAAGGUAAGUAUAAAACUAAUGAGUGUGAAUAUGGCAGAAUGAACACAGCGAAGGAGUAAGGAGAGCUAAGGGGUCCAGUUGUCAAAUGAGCAGGGAGAUGGCAUGUGAUUACUUGAAGAAGAGGGAGGACCCUCUAGGGAGUAGGGGGCUGCUGACAGAAGACAAAACUGAGGGGUUGAGCGGUCUGAACAGGAGAGGUGAGGACACACCUUCUGGUGGUGGCAGAGGGAGGGGGUCUAGGGGAGAUGGCUUAUUACUCAGGGUGGGGCAAGGAUAGGCAGCAAAAGCAUCAGGGGCUGGUCUCGGAGUCCGGUCUGGCGAUGCUAUAGCAGAAAGGUUAGGGCUGCCUGCUCACAGGAUUCGGGUAAAGCCUGAGACAGAGGGGUGGGGGAGGGGAGACAACUGUUCUGAUCCAAACUUCCUAACUUUAGAGCAUACACAUCAGCAACUGAUGAGUCGCACUUGAGGUGGAAACCAAUAUGCCAGUGCCAUUUGGUGGAAGAACACAUGGGAGAGGAUGCCUUACUGACCUGGGAGGAAUUUUGAGUGUGACUUUAUUUAUCGCUGUGUUUUAGUGAUUUGUAGUCAGUUUUUUAAUAAGACUGGGAAGACCAUUUCCUUUUUUUCCUUUUUUUUUUUGUUUUUUGUUUGUUUGUUUGUUUUGUUUUGUUUUUUUUAGACAAAGCUUAGGUGGCCCAGGCUGACCCUGAACUUCUGAUCUUCUUGCUUUGCCUCUGGAGAGUUGGGGGUUACAGAAGGGCACCGUCGUGCUUUGCUUAGGAGACCUUGAGAAUUAGCUGUGUUGACUUGGAGAGCACACUUUACUUCAGGAUGACCCACAGACUCUAUUCUCAUCCACUGGUUGUGGUAGUUUGUUCAGUUCUUCCAUUUUAGGUACCUUUGCCCCAAGCUCAAGCGUUUUUUAUUUAGACAUCAAUAGAAUAGGAGCUGACAGCACAUCAAAUUUACGUGUAUUUUAUUUCAUUUUUAUAGAUGAAUUCUGUAUUUACAUCCUUCCAUUCUUCCCCCCUCAAUUUUUCCUGUUUCCCUAACUCCUUUUAAAAUUCACAAUCUCUUAAUUAUUAUCAUUAUAUAUGAAUGCAUAUGUAUAUAUCUAUACAUGCUACACAAAUAUAGCAAUAAUAUUAUACACACCCACAACCUGUUGAGUUCCUUUAGUGUUCUCAUAUGUAUGUGAGUUUAGGGCUGACUACUUGGCAUUCUAAUUUUGAGCCUAGACUUUAAUGGCUGAGACAUCUCUCCAGCCCAGGGCUAGCCACUUAGGGUUAGAUAACCCAAUUGGUGGCUGGUCCCUGGAAAAGACUGCUUCUCCCUCUCUUAAUAGCCAUUGGUUACCUGUAGCUCUUCAUUGCAUGGUGGGGUCCUGUGAGUGAUAGCAUUUCAUGAUCCUUGCUAACGAUUUGGUCACUGUUUUCUUUUCAAAGAGCGAUACUGCCCAAGAUGUUUCUGCCCAGAGUGUCAGGGCAAGCGUACAUGCUUUACUGUGGAUCUAUGACACAGAUGCAUGCCCGCUUUCCAGCAAAAGUCUGCUCACCUGCUGGGCAGGGCUCUCCGUUUUUUUUUUUAUUGAGUGGUGAAGACACAUAGCAUUCCCACUACUUAAUCUUGACGCUUUGAACUUUUCAAGCUGUUUUUCCUUCCCCUUUAGUCUGGAUAGCCGCUGUGUCCCCACAAGAGGAGGAACAGUCAUGGAGAAACACAACUGAACUUUACUGUGGCAAAAAGAAAGGGAAAAUAACAAUUAUGAGGUCUGGACAUCGAGCCUGAGGCUGGUGUUAAAAAAAAAAGAAUGCUUAUGUCUGCAUAACUUAACUUGUAUCUCUUCAGUAAAUCAAACCUGCUAUUCCACUUGACUGCAUCCAAGUCACUUAGAUGUCUGCCAACAAGAACAUUAAUGAACUCAGUAUCUCACGCAGGUUUGUUCAUGUAGAGCCCACAAUUGCUUAGCCUCCCUUCCAGCUGCUGCCUGGGCUCCAUCUGAAGGAGGUGGACAGCUGGACCAGGUCAUCACUUAACCCCAGGAUGUGGUAUGUCCUGGUCUUCAAGUCCUCUGUCUGGUUUUAGGAUGGCAUGGCUUUGAAAAGUAGUAGUUCUUGUCCUGAAAAACUUCAUGAAGCUUUGCUGCGUUCUGCCUUUGACGUAAGUGCCUGUCACAUGCUACAUAACUGACUAUGUUGUACUCUUGCUCUCUGGGGUCUCAGUUUACCUCCAUGGAUUUAUAAUUAAUGGGAUUAUUCCAGAACACAUUGUUACUCCUUAGAUUUCUCCAGAUGAUACGAGACGAUUAAGAGAAAUGCUGAAGUUGAUAUGAACCUAAUUUGUCAAAAAUGUAACAGAAUUAUAGAGAGAUCAGUCACUCCCAAACCUUUCUGCAGGUGGAGUCUAACGAAGGGAGGUCUAUAAAGUUCUAAGUCCCAGGCUGCGUGCCAGACCAAUAAAACCACACUUCUGAGGAUGGGCUUCAGGCAACAGUAGUAUGUUCACUCCACAGGUCAUCCCCAUGUGGAGACAUGUUUGGAAACCACAGAUCUGGACAAGGCCGUUGGCAACACGUCUGUGGCUCGUUCUCCCCUGCCCUGCCCUGCGGUUGGUGGCAUGUUUUUGGCUUUUUAGCAUCUUCCUUAUCUCCAUCCACAGAGAACUCCGAAGUUGGAAGCCUAAGCAGGAACACUGGACCAGACAUGACUGAAAGGUAACAACCAUUAAAGGAGCAAAGACCAAAAAGUGUGUCUGAAGCAGAUGGCUGCACUUCCCGCUGGGUCGAUGCUAAUUUUUAAGCAUGUUACUAAUGACAAAGUUUUUUUUUUUUCCUCUUGCAAUUUCAGACACCAAAGACUUUUCAAACAGUUUGUGAACUCUGUUUAAUGAGAUACAAGUCUCUUUUAUGCUGUAAGCUUUAGACUUCCCUUGCUUUGGGACUUGGUUGGGUUAGUGACUGUGAAACAGGAAGUUCUAUGAGCACGGAGUGAGGACUGUCCACUUGUCAUGUUUAAAGAAUCACAAUCUGAUGCAAACAAAAGAGUAGGUAUUGAAAGCCUUACAUUUCUGUGUAUAGACAAUACAUUACUUAUUUAUAGAAAUAACUACUUAGCUGUCCAGAAACUGAGGGGAAGGGGGUUUAAUUAUAGCAACAAUGUUUACUCGUAGGUGAAUUUACAUGUUGGAGCUCAGAGCUCUAACACUGCACAAAUAAUUGCUUGCUGGCUUGUAAAAUUUUAGGACUAGCAGAGGAACUCAGUUAUUUUGCCAGCUCUACCUUGGGAGAGACAGAUUGAAAUAAAAUUGCAACUCGAGUUUUUGGAUGACUCCAAUUAUCUAAAUAGAUGUGGCCUUAAUUUAAAGAAGUUUAUGAACAAGUUCACUAUAUAUAUUUCACUAUUUUUAAGCUUUAGUCAACUUAGAAGCAAUGGAUACUUCGUUCCUGAUCUAUUGCUUACUUAAAAACUUUCCAUGCUAAUAUGUAAAAGACCUUGUGCUUCAUUCGUCUCUGACUGCUAGCACCGACCGAGCAGUAGAAACCAAAGACUCAUAGCUAUAAUCUAAUCAUUCAUAAUAUCUCUUAGGAAAAAAAAUUCCAGAAACAAUUCUGGUUGGGAAAUGCAUUUUUAAUAUGUAUAUAUAUAUGUAUACUGUACAUAAUUGUUCUGUAUAUAACUGUUUGAGGUGUAUUACUACAAUGGAAUGAGUCCCACAGGAUACUAGAAUUUAGCUUACAGUGUUGGAAGGCCGGAGAGUCCUGACUCCGUGACUAGUUCAUCUCAUGUUGAUUGGCAGGCACCAACAGCUGGACCACAUUAGCUGUUACACACGAGCCAGAACAAAAAGGCCAGGCUUACCACCUUAAAACCACCUCGUAGGCCCUCAGUGGAGGGGGCCCGGGAAGAUGACUUGAUGGUUAGAAGCAUUGGCUGCUUUUCCAGAGCACCCACAUGACAGCUAACAACCAUUUAUAGCUCUAGUUCCAGGGGACCUGAAGCCUUCUUCUGGCCUCUGCAAGCAGUGAACACCCCCUUUGCAUGGACAUACACGAAGGCCAAACACAUAAAAUAAAAUAAUAAACCUUCAGGGGCUCUAGAGCACUUCCUUCCCAAGGCAUGCUCUGCGGACUUCUUUCUUGGAGAUAGUCCAAGGCCUCACCUUUGAAAGGGAUGGCUACCUCUAAAUAUCACCACUGUGAAGACCCAGGGUACACUAUAUGAACACUCACAGAGACACAAACUCUAUUAAGAGUUUCUAUUAUUAGAAAUAAACUUUUAUCCAAGAUGUGGAAAUUACAAUGGUCACCAUUUUUCGUAUAAGAAUUUUAGCUCUAUCAUUACUGAGGAAAUUAUGAACAGCUGGAGUGUGCUACUAGCGUGUGUAGGACAUAGAGUCCAGGGGCCUGUGUCCACAUUGCAGUUACUCUAAUAUCCAGUGGCAUUUUAUUUGUCUUUUGCUAAAAUGCCUUUUUAAUGUACACAUUUGCAUUUUGUCCCAGAGGGCACUUGGGCCAAUCCACAGGAAAUGUCAUCUCCUGUCUGCCAGUUUUAAAUUUCAUUCCAAGGAAGGGCUGCCAUUAUAGAGUGUUGUUGCUGUUGUCCACUAUGCAGCCCUCCCUUGCUGCUCCGGAACUCACAGAGGUUUGCCUGCUUGGCUUCCCAAAGGAUUAAAGAUUUACAAGCAUCACCUGCUCAGUUCCAGCUUCCGCAUGACGGCUGGUGGAUUCCUGAAGACUCCUACUCCAAGGGUACAGAGACUAAGGGCAGAAGUACCUGAGUGAGCAGGUACGCAGCCUCCUCAGUCUCCUUGCAGCAGUGAAUGGAGCUUACACUGAGCCAACAAUAGAAGAAAAACCACUCCACUUCCCUCACAAAGCUCUGGAGUAACUGGAUGGGGGAUUGGUGCUCACCUACUACAAGUCUCCCUCACUGUGAUUGUCAAACUUUUUCUCUCACAGGACUAAGCACCUUCUCUGUCCAUCGAUUGUCGUUCUCUUUCUAUAUCUGCCAAAUUGCUGGGUAUUGCUACCUGGAAGUCUCUGUCCUGGCAGUUUUACGUGGUGGGUUCUAAAAUUUUCACUCAAAUAUUAUCCACCCAAAGAUGCCUUCUUGGAACAUGCAAAAAAAAAAAAACUUUAUUAGUUACACAGUCUCUUUUCAUUUUGCGUUAUAUUACGUGUCUGCGCGGCACUCGCUCUUCUCAGGUAUUUUUCCUGGCCUACUGACUAUUGAACUUCAGUGAAACUCCAUGAGGACAAAGACCCUAUCUGAGUGGGUGCAGUGUUAGUUCCUAGUGGGUCCUACUGGGCCAAUUACCCACUGAGUGAGUAGAAAGUGAGAAUUAAAAAAAAAACAUAUAAAAUAAACAGGAGUUUAAAGAGAAUUCUUAUUGAGGAGAGAUACAAGAAGGAAGAGAAGUUUUGAUUCGUGUCUAACGAUUCACUUUUAAAACAGGCAAGGACCAGGUCUGGACUUCAUCAUUUACUAUCUGUGCAGUUUUAGACAAAUCGCUGAGCUGCCGUUCACUUGUUGGGUUGAUUGGUUGGUCCUUGUGAUGCUGGGGAUCAAACCCAAGGACCUCACACAUCUGCACAUGCUAGGCGGGUGCUGUGCCACAGGGCACCCUACAUCCCCUGUCCUAGCAUUUUAAACUUUCAGAUGAAUAUAAUGCUUAUCUCCCUGAGCCGCUGUGAGGAGAUAUAUUACAUUAUGUAAUGAUGCAGAGGAAACGCUGAGCAUGGCGUCUGCCCCAUGGUCAAUGCUAGGUACAUCCCAAUGACUGUCAUCACCAGCAUCAGCAUCAUCUUCUGCAUCAGCAUCAUCUCCUUCAUCAUCGUUGUCACCAUCGCCGCGCUCAGUCUUACUUCUCCAUUUACUGAAAUAGCACACCAGAACUGUCAAGAAGAUGCUGGUUUUGUUUCAUAGCGUGUCUUCCUCAUCUCUACCUCAGCCUUAAACCUCCAUCUGAUUUCAUUUCUUCACCGUCUUUCACCAUACCGGUUAGGAACACAUCAUGGUCAUUGCCCAUUUUAUCUGUUACUUUUCUAUUGGUGUGAUAAAACACCAUAUCAAGGCUAGUUGGGGAAGAGUUUACUUGGGCUUAUGGCUACAGAGGUUUGGAGUCCAUGAUGGUAGAGUAAGGCAUGGUGGCAAGAUCCGAAGCCAGGGGUCAGAUGUUCAACUGCAGGCAUGAAACAGAGAAAGAGUGGACUCAGAAUGGCCUGAGUCUUUGAACUCUCAAGCCUGUCUCCUAUAACAUAAUUCCUUCAACCAGGCUACACUCCUACGUCUUCCCAAACAGUGACACCAACUAGGAACCAAUGCUUAAAUAUCAGACCCCACAUUCCCAUUCAAACCACCACCAAGUUCAUGAAAUGGACCCUACCGCCCACUGCCGAUCUUACCAUAAGCCUAGACUUGACCACUCGUUGGCUUACAGUCACGUUCUCUUUAUGGUUUUGUAUCACCUCAUCAUCCAUAUUUCUGCCUUAUACUUUAUAUUUCAAUCUUUACACUCUAUAGUUUAGUCUGGACCAAAUGUUUAUUGUCUCCACAAUGAAUCAGCUGAAGAACCUGGGUCAUCACUUUGAGUGUCUCUCAUGUAGCUUUGUUUGUAAGCCAGUCCAUCAUGGUCCUCUGUCUUCUGCAUUCUUUGAACACUGGAUCCAGACAUUUGACCAAACUCAGGUUAGAAAUUUUCUGUAAGAGUUCAGAUGGGUGUGUUGCCUCUCUUUUGAAAUGUCACCAUUGUCUAGCUCAGUGGUUCUCAACCUUACUAACCCUGUC